rnacentral:lncRNA from 1 species
CAAAAUAAUUUCUAAUUCUCUGUGAGCACUAAUAAAUAAUGUAUUCUUCCUUUUUCUCCAGGGGAAGUAUAAAGUUGAGUUAAUGGCCAGAUGGAAAUAAAGCUAGAAGUUCUCUCAAAUAUCGGAUACUGAAGAUGUAUUUUUUUAACAGCCAAUUUUCCAUCUUGUAUGUUUUUUAAAUAUUAGUAAUGUAACAGUACUAUACAUCAGUGAAAAGAAUAAAAUAUCACUGCACACACCAAUUUGGAUGCAUCUCAGAAGAUAUUAUUAAGUGAAAAAAUCAAGUUGCAGAAGAAUUCAGACAGUGAUUCCAUUUAUAUCAACUCAGAACAUUCGAAACUAAAUCACCCACUGUGUGAGAAUAUCAACAUGUGUGUCAAAGCACGGUAAGGAUAAUUCAAGAUUCAGGGUGGUGGUUCCUUCUAAGAGCAGUAUGACAUCAUGGAGUGAUACAUAGAGGCCCUUAAAAGUGUCCCAAACACUCCAUAUUCCUUAUUUUGAGUGGUGGGCACAUGGUGAUCAGUUUUAUUGUAAAUCACUCUACCUUAUGCACAUAUUGUAAUUAAAUUUUUGUAUCCAUUCAGUGUUUAAUAAAAACAGCUAAAACUAAGUUGAGAACAUGCAUAUCUGUGUAGAGUAAAAUUUUCUCCCCUAUUGUAUGGUGUUUCCAUGUUCUUUCUCUAUUUCGUAACAGACUUUCAUGUUUAAGUAAACAGAUAUUUCAUGAGAAACAUGAAACAGAACCUUGUACUUUGGGAGUCCUUCAUAAAAAACAAAACAGCAUCAACAACACAAGGUUAAUUUUUAUCAAAGAGAAUUGAGUGGCUAUUUCUCCUUAUUGCCUGUGAAUGCAUUCAAAAGAGGCAAGUAGGAAGUAGAAAUGAUGCAUAUUAAAUAUUUAAUUUUCUAAGGAUGUUAAGCAUGGGUAAGAAUUUAAUCCACAUUUAUAUAAGGAUGGAAGUUUGAUCAUUGGAUAAAAAAUGGAUAUAACACUAUCUUAUCUUGGCUAUCAUUAAGAUAUUCAAAAUAUAUCAACUGACCAGCUUUAUAAUGUCAUGACUGGAUUAGAAUGUCAGCCUACUAAUCUAAGCAAUAAGAUGGAGUCCAGCUAAACAGUGGGAUGUUCAACUGCCAUGGUAGUUGAAUGGGUGAAUCUGGCUUUCAAAAUUCCAACCUGCCUAGAACAAAAUUCUGAUUUAACCUUUCUUAUUAUCUAGCUCAGAAGUCAGCAAACGUUUUCAGUAAAG